ensembl:misc_RNA Metazoa_SRP Metazoan signal recognition particle RNA
GCUGGGCAUGGUGGUGCAUGCCUGUAGUCCCAGCCACUCAGGAGGCUGAGACAGGAGAAUUGCUUGAACCUGGGAGGUGGAGGUUGCAGUGAGCCAAGAUUGCACCACUGCACUCCAGCCUGGGUAACAGAGUGAGACUCUGUCUCAA